rnacentral:rRNA from 1 species
AUGAGAACCUUAUAUUGCAGAAGGGCGGGCGGCGCCUCCAUGCCCGGCUCCGGCACAGCCAACCAACGGGUCGUGGGGAUAUCUUGUGGGCUCGCCGUCCAUGCCGUGAGCUUGAACGAGGACAAGUCGGAGCGGGAAGCCGUCUCUGGAGCCACCGCCUCCACCUUGCAAGACGACCCGAGCAAACACCUUGAAACCAAACACCGAAUGAACUGCCUGCUCCGCCUCCACCGCCUCCACCGCCUCCAUGGCCUGAAGUGUAGUCUGUCUCCUUCGAACUCCACCGAGGGGCAAGCCGCCACUCUGUUCCGCACCUCCGCCGAAGCAAAAACCACCAGAAAAUCCUCUGGCCUGUAG